CUAACCAUUAAACUAUGCCAACUAGGGAUCGGUGGGCGUUAAUAUAAAAUUGAUUAAAGAAUUCAAAAUGACAAAGUAUUUUAAUUUUUAAUUAAAAAUCUCUUUUCAUUUUGAUCUUUUUUCAAUAAAUGACCCCAUCGGCACCUUAAUUUUAUUACUUCUUAAUGGGAAACCAAAGUUUUUGGGUUCCGGGGGGAGUAUGGUCGCAAGGCUGAAACUUAAAGGAAUUGACGGAAGGGCACCACAAGGAGUGGAGUUUGCGGCUUAAUUUGACUCAACACGGGAAAACUCACCAGGUCCAGACAUGGAAAGGAUUGACAGAUUGAGAGCUCUUUCUUGAUUCCAUGAAAGGUGGCGCAUGGCCGUUCUUAGUUGGUGGAGUGAUUUGUCUGGUUAAUUCCGAUAACGAACGAGACCUUGACCUGCUAAAUAGGGGGGUUUAUCGUUUUGAAGAAAGUGAAUUUGUAAAGUUUUUUGUAAAAAGUUUACUUUUUACAAUUUAUUUUAUUUUUUAUUUUCUUCAAAAAUACACGAUAGAACCUAAGACUUAAAAAGGUCUUAAAUACUUUAUGUUUGGGUUUUUUGGGUUUACUCAAAGAAUUUGGAUGUAAAGAGAAAUCCUUCUUAGAGGGACCAUCUGCGUUUUAAACUUUAGCAGAUGGAGGCACGAGGCAAUAACAGGUCUGUGAUGCCCUUAGAUGUCCUGGGCUGCACGCGAACUACACUGACAAACUCAACAAGUGUAUACAAAUAAAGAAAAAUUUAGAAACAAAAAUUUAUUUUUGUUUUUUUAGGUUUUUCUUUUCUCCUUGGCAGAAAUGUCUGGGUAAUCUCUUUAAAGUUUGUCGUGAUGGGGAUAGAUGAUUGUAAUUAUU
rnacentral:rRNA from 1 species